rnacentral:misc_RNA from 1 species
GAUGAAGAACGUAGCGAAAUGCGAUAAGUAAUGUGAAUUGCAGAAUUCAGUGAAUCAUCGAAUCUUUGAACGCACAUUGCGCCCCUUGGUAUUCCGAGGGGCAUGCCUGUUCGAGCGUCAUUAUAACCACUCAAGCUCAGCUUGGUGUUGGGGCCUGCUGCACUGGCAGCCCUUAAAAUCAGUGGCGGCGCCAUCUGGCUCUAAGCGUAGUAAUUCUUCUCGCUAUGGAGUCCUGGUGGAUGCUUGCCAUCAACCCCCAAUUUUUCUAUGGUUGACCUCGGAUCAGGUAGGGAUACCCGCUGAACUUAAGCAUAUCAAUAAGCGGAGGA